UCAAAUCAGGUCCUAAACUAACCGCCAUAGUCUCCUGAUCCUCUUUGAAGACAAACACGUCCUUGUUCUUCCAAACUAAUCUAGCUCGAGGGUGCUUGGCGUCCCUCUGCUUCCACUCCGAUGGGUGGUCAGGAGUUCCUCUGCUUCCUCUGCAAUGGCUGAUCAAUCGGCACGCAGCAAUCAUAGUGGGGCGCCGCGUCUUUGGCUGAGAAAGGAGGAGUCGACUUUGAUGGCAUAAUGCAAGCAACAGCAGAUAACUUGGCGGAUUUCAAAGGGGACAAGAUGAUGUGCCUCAACACCAAACCGAAAAGGGAAUAGGAAGCAGGAUCGGAGGCAGUAUGAGUCAUGGGAAUGAUGAUGAGGAUGACUACUAAGGCAAUGAGGGAUAUGAUAACUAUGGAGAGGGUGGUAUGUAUGGUGAUGAGCAGUAUAUUAACUAUGGCGAUGAGGGAUAUAAUGACUAUGGAGAUGAGGGAUAUAAUGACUAUGGUGAUGGCGAUGAUGAUGAUAAUUGGCUAUAGAAGCCUAAUGAUCUUCAAGCCAUGCCAAAAUGAAGUUAUGUUAGAUAUUUGAAACACUUUAUCUUAUGGACAAAUUUG